CGCCAGACUCCUACGGGAGGCAGCAGUGGGGAAUAUUGCACAAUGGGGGAAACCCUGAUGCAGCGACGCCGCGUGAGUGAAGAAGUAUUUCGGUAUGUAAAGCUCUAUCAGCAGGGAAGAAAAUGACGGUACCUGAUUAAGAAGCCCCGGCUAACUACGUGCCAGCAGCCGCGGUAAUACGUAGGGGGCAAGCGUUAUCCGGAUUUACUGGGUGUAAAGGGAGCGUAGACGGCAGCACAAGUCUGGAGUGAAAUGCCGGGGCUUAACCCCGGAACUGCUUUGGAAACUGUGCAGCUAGAGUGCAGGAGAGGUAAGUGGAAUUCCUAGUGUAGCGGUGAAAUGCGUAGAUAUCAGGAGGAACAUCGGUGGCGAAAGCGCUUUACUGGACCAUUAUUGACGCUGAGGAACGAAAGCCAGGGGAGCAAAUGGGAUUAGAUCCCCGCGUA
rnacentral:rRNA from 1 species